rnacentral:rRNA from 1 species
AGUCGAGCGAGCAAGUUAAAGGAAUACUUCGGUAGGAAUUUAAUAGCGCGAGCGGCGGAUGGGUGAGUAACACGUGGGCAACCUGCCCUUUAGCUUGGGAUACCACUUGGAAACAGGUGCUAAUACCAAAUAAGAAGUAAGAGCGCAUGCUCAAGCUAUGAAAGGCGGCUUUCGAGCUGUCACUAAAGGAUGGGCCCGCGGUGCAUUAGCUAGUUGGUAAGGCAACGGCUUACCAAGGCAAUGAUGCAUAGCCGAGUUGAGAGACUGAUCGGCCACAUUGGGACUGAGACACGGCCCAAACUCCUACGGGAGGCAGCAGUAGGGAAUCUUCCACAAUGGACGCAAGUCUGAUGGAGCAACGCCGCGUGAGUGAAGAAGGUUUUCGGAUCGUAAAGCUCUGUUGUUGGUGAAGAAGGACAUGGAUAGUAACUGAUCUAUGUUUGACGGUAAUCAACCAGAAAGUCACGGCUAACUACGUGCCAGCAGCCGCGGUAAUACGUAGGUGGCAAGCGUUGUCCGGAUUUAUUGGGCGUAAAGCGAACGCAGGCGGGAGAACAAGUCAGCUGUGAAAGCCCUCGGCUUAACCGAGGAACGGCAACUGAAACUGUUUUUCUUGAGUGCAGAAGAGGAGAGUGGAACUCCAUGUGUAGCGGUGAAAUGCGUAGAUAUAUGGAAGAACACCAGUGGCGAAGGCGGCUCUCUGGUCUGUAACUGACGCUGAGGUUCGAAAGCAUGGGUAGCGAACAGGAUUAGAUACCCUGGUAGUCCAUGCCGUAAACGAUGAGUGCUAAGUGUUGGGAGGUUUCCGCCUCUCAGUGCUGCAGCUAACGCAUUAAGCACUCCGCCUGGGGAGUACGACCGCAAGGUUAAAACUCAAAGGAAUUGAC